GCGUCAUACUUUCCUCCCGGAUACAGUGAUCAGUCAGAUCGAUGUUUGGGGUGGCCGUGACAGAUAGAUCGGUGAUCCAUACUCCCUAAUUGUGCGAGUCUGCUGCAUUGUCUGUGCGGAGCUGAAGUGUGCUCCCUCCACUGUGGGUGAACACAUCAGUGUCGGAAGUUGCUGUGGACGGCAAGUGAGCCGUGCGCUCCCUCUCUCUCUCGCUCUCCCUCUCCUCACGAGUCGGAAGCGCUGCGCUGCUAUUCUCUGGUAAUUGGGCCAGCCUGUGAAUCGCGGUGCUGCGGCCCUGUAGAAACCUCAGCCUCCAAGCCGUGGCCGACUGCUGGGCAGGAGCUGUAGGGGCAGAUAGCGGCUGGUCCCCUGGUGGUGGUGUCCGUCAUUGGUCCCUCGACUGUACAGCACUUGGGUGUCAUCCGGAUGGUGUACGUGACUGAUGGUGUAAUCUGUCUCGUGGAGCCUUCUGCCCUAACAGACCUCCAUGCUAUUGAGGAUGAUGAAACACUUUAUCAGCUGCCACAGAGAGGCCUGUUGAGGUUAACACUUUUAUAAAUUAUUUAAUUUUUUUUAAUAAUAACUAUGGUUUCAGUUAAUAGUGAGGUUCCAAAAUACAACUUGCAACUUCUUUCUCUCUAACAAAGCAAUGCUGGAAAUUACAAUGAGGAAGAAGGCCCAUCAACCUCCACAGCACAGCUUACCUCAGUAAUUUGUUGUUCAGUAUUGACCCACAACUUGCAUUGACACUAAGUAGACAAUGGAACUAUGAAAUUCAACAUAACUUAUGUUCCUAUAGCUCCCUGUGAAACAACUCUACAAGGUGUAUUUACAAUCCCAAAUCAAUAAAUCACAUCUAGAAAUGGAACACAUAAAGCUGCAGAUCACCAAGACAAAAAUGGAAAUACAAAUGUUGGACCA